GCUGUAGCUUUGUGGUAGAGCAUCUGCUUUGUAUGCAGAAGGUCCCAGGUUCAAUCCCUGGCAUCACCA
rnacentral:tRNA from 1 species